GAUGAAGAACGUAGCGAAAUGCGAUAAGUAGUGUGAAUUGCAGAAUUCAGAGAAUCAUCGAAUCUUUGAACGCACAUUGCGCCCCAUGGUAUUCCGUGGGGCAUGCCUGUUCGAGCGUCAUUUACCCCCUCAAGCUCCGCUUGGUGUUGGGCGUCUGUCCCGCUUCGCGCGCGGACUCGCCCCAAAGGUAUUGGCAGCGGUCGUGCCAGCUUCUCGCGCAGCACAUUGCGCUUCUCGAGGCACCGGUGGGCCCGCGUCCAUCAAGCUCACCCCCCCAGUUUGACCUCGGAUCAGGUAGGGAUACCCGCUGAACUUAAGCAUAUCAAUAAGCGGAGGA
rnacentral:misc_RNA from 1 species